rnacentral:rRNA from 1 species
AUGUAUUUCAAGUCGACAACAAGUGUAACAGAAAAAAAGAACGAGAUGGCUACUGUGGAUGUGCCAGCAAGAAAGAGCAGCACAGAUGAUAGCCAAGGAAUGAAAUGUAAUGGAGGAAGGGAGGAGGGUGAAUCCAAAUUUCUGGGGUACCAUUCUAUGUCUCCUACUAUUGUAGUUAAAAGGUACGGUGAUAAUGAAGUAAAGGAGGAAGCCAAUGAUGUGGUGGAACAUACCAUGUCUUGUACCGAUGCACACAAGUUGUUGACUAGAAAUGAACUAAAAGAGAAGGCAGAUUCCAAAGUGGAGGAGAAACAUGCCAUGAAUUUUGCUGAUAUAAGUUUGGGAAAUAUCCACAAUGAGAAUGACAAAAACCAAGAGGAGAAAUCCAAAGUGAUGGAGGAGUAUGGGAUAGCCUUUGUUGUUGCAAGUCAAUGCAAUAACCAUAAUGCAGCACAAGAGAAGGAACCUAAAAUGGUGGACAAUCUUGCCAUGCUCUCUAAUGAUGUUAUUAAAAAUAUCGACCAUGAUGAAGAAAAUAAGGGAAAUAAAUCUAAAUUACUGAAGGAGCAAGCUAUAGGUUCUACCGGUGUGAGAAACACGGGAGAAGAUUUGCCUCGAGCACUGAAAACAAGAAAAUUUGAGGGAAUGUCAAUUCUCAUAGAUAUAGACCGCACCUCCAAGGUAGUGGAAAUGCGCACAAGAAAGAAAACUGAAUCAAACUCAUGCUUCAAGAAUUCCAAGAUUGGGACAUUUUCUAAUCCUAUUCUUAUUGAUAGCUCGGAGUCGGAGACGGACUAG